ACGAACGCUGGCGGCGUGCUUAACCCAUGCCAGUCGAACGGUGAAGCGCCUUCCUUUUUGGUGGGUGUGGAUGAGUGGCGAACGGGUGAGUAACACGUGAGUAACCUGCCCCCUUCUUCUGGAUAACCGCAUGAAAGUGUGGCUAAUACGGGAUAUUCUGGGUCUGUCGCAUGAUGGGUCUGGGAAAGAUAUUGUUUCGGUGGGGGAUGGGCUCGCGGCCUAUCAGCUUGUUGGUGGGGUGAUGGCCUACCAAGGCGGUGACGGGUAGCCGGCCUGAGAGGGUGGACGGUCACACUGGGACUGAGACACGGCCCAGACUCCUACGGGAGGCAGCAGUGGGGAAUAUUGCACAAUGGGCGCAAGCCUGAUGCAGCGACGCCGCGUGAGGGAUGGAGGCCUUCGGGUUGUAAACCUCUUUCGCCAGUGAAGCAGGCCUGCCUCGUUUGUGGGUGGGUUGACGGUAGCUGGAUAAGAAGCGCCGGCUAACUACGUG
rnacentral:rRNA from 1 species